AUGGCGCCGCCUCGUCACCGACCGUGCCUUCCUCCGACGCAUCGGCCUCUGGCCACCGACGGCGCGCCACCCGUCCAUCCUCGCCGGGAUCUUCUACCAGAUCACCUGCCCCGUCGGCAAGCCCCGUCGGAAGCACGGCCAGCCUCCUUAGUUCUUGAACCUUCAGCUUGGGGGAGCGCAUGCUACCUUCAGCUCGUUCGUCCAUGGUGCGCAUCUCACCUUUGGCUCACUGGUCGACAACGACGAUGGUCUAUUCGCCUACGCAAGGCCACUCGCAUCGCGCCGUGGUCUUCUCCUCGUGAGCAUCCUGCUGCCCACCAUGUUCGACGACAUGGGCGGUACAGGCGCCCGGGAUAA
rnacentral:rRNA from 1 species